CAGCAGCCGCGGUAAUACGGGAGUGGCAAGCGUUAUCCGGAAUUAUUGGGCGUAAAGCAUCCGCAGGCGGCCCUUCAAGUCUGCUGUUAAAACGUGGAGCUUAACUCCAUCAUGGCAGUGGAAACUGUUGGGCUUGAGUGUGGUAGGGGCAGAGGGAAUUCCCGGUGUAGCGGUGAAAUGCGUAGAUAUCGGGAAGAACACCAGUGGCGAAGGCGCUCUACUGGGCCAUAACUGACGCUCAUGGACGAAAGCCAGGGGAGCGAAAGGGAUUAGAUACCCCUGUAGUCCUGGCCGUAAACGAUGAACACUAGGUGUCGGGGGAAUCGACCCCCUCGGUGUCGUAGCCAACGCGUUAAGUGUUCCGCCUGGGGAGUACGCACGCAAGUGUGAAACUCAAAGGAAUUGACGGGGGCCCGCACAAGCGGUGGAGUAUGUGGUUUAAUUCGAUGCAACGCGAAGAACCUUACCAGGGUUUGACAUCCUGCGAACCUCUUGGAAACGAGAGGGUGCCUUCGGGAACGCAGUGACAGGUGGUGCAUGGCUGUCGUCAGCUCGUGUCGUGAGAUGUUGGGUUAAGUCCCGCAACGAGCGCAACCCACGUCUUUAGUUGCCAGCAUUUAGUUGGGCACUCUAGAGAGACCGCCGGUGAUAAACCGGAGGAAGGUGUGGAUGACGUCAAGUCAUCAUGCCCCUUACAUCCUGGGCUACACACGUACUACAAUGCUACGGACAAAGAGCAGCAAGUUCGCGAGGACAAGCAAAUCUCAUAAACCGUGGCUCAGUUCAGAUCGUAGGCUGCAACUCGCCUACGUGAAGGAGGAAUCGCUAGUAAUCGCAGGUCAGCAUACUGCGGUGAAUACGUUCCCGGGCCUUGUACACACCGCCCGUCACACCAUGGAAGUUGGCCACGCCCGAAGCCGUUACUCCAACCCUUGUGGAGGAGGACGUCGAAGGUGGGGCUGAUGACUGGGGUG
rnacentral:rRNA from 1 species